rnacentral:pre_miRNA from 13 species
AAUGUAUGAUUAAAGUUUUUGAUGUCGCAGAUACUGCAUCAGGAACUGAUUGGAUACAAAUAUAUCACCAUCAGUUCCUAAUGCAUUGCCUUCAGCAUCUAAACAA